rnacentral:rRNA from 1 species
UACGUAGGAUGCAAGCGUUGUCCGGAAUUAUUGGGCGUAAAGAGCUCGUAGGCGGUCUGUCGCGUCGGCUGUGAAAACUCGGGGCUCAACUCCGAGCUUGCAGUCGAUACGGGCAGGCUAGAGUUCGGCAGGGGAGACUGGAAUUCCUGGUGUAGCGGUGAAAUGCGCAGAUAUCAGGAGGAACACCGGUGGCGAAGGCGGGUCUCUGGGCCGAUACUGACGCUGAGGAGCGAAAGCGUGGGGAGCGAACAGG